UACGUAGGGGGCAAGCGUUGUCCGGAAUCAUUGGGCGUAAAGCGCGCGUAGGCGGUCCGAUAAGUCUGCUGUGAAAGUCGGGGGCUCAACCCUCGGAUGCCGGUGGAUACUGUCGGGCUUGAGUGCGGAAGAGGCGAGUGGAAUUCCUGGUGUAGCGGUGAAAUGCGCAGAUAUCAGGAAGAACACCCGUGGCGAAGGCGGCUCUCUGGGACGGUACUGACGCUGAGACGCGAAAGCGUGGGGAGCGAACAGG
rnacentral:rRNA from 1 species